rnacentral:rRNA from 1 species
CCUACGGGUGGCAGCAGUAGGGAAUUUUCGUCAAUGGGCGCAAGCCUGAACGAGCAAUGCCGCGUGAACGAGGAAGGUCUUCGGAUCGUAAAGUUCUGUUGAAGGGGAAAAAGAGCGGAGAGAGGAAAUGGUCUCCGAUUGAUAUUACCCUUCGAGGAAGUCACGGCUAACUACGUGCCAGCAGCCGCGGUAAUGCGUAGGUGGCGAGCGUUGUCCGGAAUGAUUGGGCGUGAAGGGGGCGUAGGCGGCCUGCUAGGUCUGGAGUGAAAGGUACCGGCUCAACCGGUACAGGCUCUGGAAACUGGCGGGCUAGAGAGCAGGAGAGGGCGGUGGAACUCCAUGUGUAGCGGUAAAAUGCGUAGAUAUAUGGAAGAACACCAGUGGCGAAGGCGGCCGCCUGGCCUGUUACUGACGCUGAGGCACGAAAGCGUGGGGAGCAAAUAGGAUUAGAUACCCUAGUAGUC